rnacentral:rRNA from 1 species
UACGUAGGGGGCAAGCGUUGUCCGGAUUUAUUGGGCGUAAAGAGCGUGUAGGCGGCCUUACAGGUCAGCUGUGAAAACUCGAGGCUCAACCUCGAGACGUCGGUUGAAACCGUAAGGCUAGAGUCCGGAAGAGGAGAGUGGAAUUCCUGGUGUAGCGGUGAAAUGCGCAGAUAUCAGGAAGAACACCCGUGGCGAAAGCGGCUCUCUGGAACGGUACUGACGCUGAGACGCGAAAGCGUGGGGAGCGAACAGG